rnacentral:rRNA from 1 species
GACGAACGCUGGCGGCGUGCUUAACACAUGCAAGUCGAACGGUGAAGCUCCAGCUUGCUGGAGUGGAUCAGUGGCGAACGGGUGAGUAACACGUGAGCAACCUGCCCCAGACUCUGGAAUAAGCGCUGGAAACGGCGUCUAAUACUGGAUACGAGAUCAAGCCGCAUGGUUAUGGUCUGGAAAGUUUUUCGGUUUGGGAUGGGCUCGCGGCCUAUCAGCUUGUUGGUGAGGUAAUGGCUCACCAAGGCGACGACGGGUAGCCGGCCUGAGAGGGCGACCGGCCACACUGGGACUGAGACACGGCCCAGACUCCGACGGGAGGCAGCAGUGGGGAAUAUUGCACAAUGGGCGAAAGCCUGAUGCAGCGACGCCGCGUGAGGGAUGACGGCCUUCGGGUUGUAAACCUCUUUCAGCAGGGAAGAAGCGAAAGUGACGGUACCUGCAGAAGAAGCACCGGCUAACUACGUGCCAGCCGCCGCCGUAACAC